UUAAUGGCUAUGAAAGGGAUUAGUAGAUUAGAAUUAGUUCUUUUAGAGAGAAGGUAUCAUAGGCUGAAAGUACCUUUAAGAACAUCUAAUUGAAUGCCCCCUUGAGCUAAAUAGCUGAACAUGAUAGUAGGCUAUUUCGUUUAGUCAGCGUUAUUUGACUAGAAAGUGAGUUAUCCUGUUAGUAGGGUAGCUAAGCAGAGUGGAACCACGGCCUGUCGUCUCUGAA
rnacentral:ncRNA from 1 species